rnacentral:tRNA from 1 species
GGUGGCAUAGCCAAGAGGUAAGGCAGAAGAUUGCAAAUCUUUUACCCUCAGUUCGAAUCUGAGUGCCACUU